rnacentral:rRNA from 1 species
AUUGAACGCUGGCGGCAGGCCUAACACAUGCAAGUCGAGCGAGCGGCGGACGGGUGAGUAAUGCCUAGGAAUCUGCCUGGUAGUGGGGGAUAACGUCCGGAAACGGUAGCUAAUACCGCAUACCAUCGGAUGUGCCCAGAUGGGAUUAGCUAGUAGGUGGGGUAACGGCUCACCUAGGCGACGAUCCCUAGCUGGUCUGAGAGGAGGACCAGCCAAACUGGAACUGAUACACGGUCCAUACGCCUAAGGUAGGCAGCAGUGGGGAAUAGUGCAGAAUGGGCGCAAGCCUGAUGCAGCCAUGCCGCGUGUAUGAAGAAGGCCUUCGGGUUGUAAAGUACUUUCAGCGGGGAGGCGUUACCCGCAGAAGAAGCACCGGCUAACUCCGUGCCAGCAGCCGCGGUAAUUC